GUCAGCAGCGAUAGCACGUUACAUGCACCACUUCCCGGUGGAUCACUGGAGUUAAGGAACGUUGGGCAUGGUUGGUAUCCGGAUGGGUGACCAUCUAGGAUUCUAAGCAAUCGCGUGCUGCUAGCU
rfam:Asian citrus Psyllid, Diaphorina citri - Florida Strain, whole genome shotgun sequence.